rnacentral:rRNA from 1 species
UACGAAGGGUGCAAACGUUGCUCGGAAUUAUUGGGCGUAAAGGGCUCGUAGGCGGCCAACUAAGUCAGACGUGAAAUCCCUCGGCUUAACCGGGGAACUGCGUCUGAUACUGGAUGGCUUGAGUUUGGGAGAGGGAUGCGGAAUUCCAGGUGUAGCGGUGAAAUGCGUAGAUAUCUGGAGGAACACCGGUGGCGAAGGCGGCAUCCUGGACCAACACUGGCGCUGAGUGAGCGAAAGCCAGGGGAGCAAACGGG